UGGUCCGUUGGUCAAGGGGUUAAGACACCGCCUUUUCACGGCGGUAACACGGGUUCGAAUCCCGCACGGACUAU
rnacentral:tRNA from 1 species